GAUCGAACGGCGUAGCUACAGGCUUAACACAUGCAAGUCGAGGGGCGAGCGACAAGGUGUAGCAAUACACGGGUGGCGACCGGCGCACGGGUGCGUAACGCGUAUCCAACCUUCCCGAUACUCUUGGAUAGCCUUCCGAAAGGGAGAUUAAUACAAGAUGGUGUUUCACUUUCGCAUGUUAUUGAAACUAAAGAUUUAUCGGUAUCGGAUGGGGAUGCGUGACAUUAGGCAGUUGGCGGGGUAACGGCCCACCAAACCGACGAUGGAUAGGGGUUCUGAGAGGAAGGUCCCCCACAUUGGUACUGAGACACGGACCAA
rnacentral:rRNA from 1 species